UACGUAGGGUGCGAGCGUUAAUCGGAAUUACUGGGCGUAAAGCGUGCGCAGGCGGCGCGUUAAGACAGGUGUGAAAGCCCCGAGCUUAACUUGGGAAUUGCGCUUGUGACUGGCGAGCUGGAGUGUGGCAGAGGGAGGUGGAAUUCCACGUGUAGCAGUGAAAUGCGUAGAGAUGUGGAGGAACACCGAUGGCGAAGGCAGCUUCUUGGUCCAUACCUGACGUUCAUGCACGAAAGCGUGGGAGCAAACAGG
rnacentral:rRNA from 1 species